rnacentral:rRNA from 1 species
UACGUAGGGUGCAAGCGUUGUCCGGAAUUAUUGGGCGUAAAGAGCUCGUAGGUGGUCUGUCGCGUCUGGUGUGAAAACUCAGGGCUUAACCCUGGGCCUGCAUCGGGUACGGGCAGACUAGAGUGUGGUAGGGGAGACUGGAAUUCCUGGUGUAGCGGUGAAAUGCGCAGAUAUCAGGAGGAACACCGGUGGCGAAGGCGGGUCUCUGGGCCAUAACUGACACUGAGGAGCGAAAGCAUGGGGAGCGAACAGG